rnacentral:rRNA from 1 species
UACGGGGGGGGCAAGCGUUGUUCGGAAUUACUGGGCGUAAAGGGCUCGUAGGUGGCCAACUAAGUCAGACGUGAAAUCCCUCGGCUUAACCGGGGAACUGCGUCUGAUACUGGAUGGCUUGAGUUCGGGAGAGGGAUGCGGAAUUCCAGGUGUAGCGGUGAAAUGCGCAGAUAUCAGGAGGAACACCAGCGGCGAAGGCGGCGCUCUGGGCCGGUACUGACACUGAGGAGCGAAAGCGUGGGUAGCAAACAGG